UACGUAGGGGGCAAGCGUUGUCCGGAUUUAUUGGGCGUAAAGAGCGUGUAGGCGGCUUUACAGGUCCGUUGUGAAAACUCGAGGCUCAACCUCGAGACGCCGGUGGAAACCGUAAGGCUAGAGUCCGGAAGAGGAGAGUGGAAUUCCUGGUGUAGCGGUGAAAUGCGUAGAUAUCUGGAGGAACACCGGUGGCGAAGGCGGCAUCCUGGACCAACACUGACGCUGAGUGAGCGAAAGCCAGGGGAGCAAACGGG
rnacentral:rRNA from 1 species